GACGAACGCUGGCGGCGUGCUUAACACAUGCAAGUCGAGCGGUAAGGCCCUUUCGGGGGUACACGAGCGGCGAACGGGUGAGUAACACGUGGGUGACCUGCCCUCAGCUCUGGGAUAAGCCUGGGAAACCGGGUCUAAUACUGGAUAUGACUCCAUGACGCAUGUUGUGGGGUGGAAAGCCUUGUGCGGCUGAGGAUGGGCCCGCGGCCUAUCAGCUUGUUGGUGGGGUGAUGGCCUACCAAGGCGACGACGGGUAGCCGGCCUGAGAGGGCGACCGGCCACACUGGGACUGAGACACGGCCCAGACUCCUACGGGAGGCAGCAGUGGGGAAUCUUGCGCAAUGGGCGAAAGCCUGACGCAGCGACGCCGCGUGAGGAGU
rnacentral:rRNA from 1 species